AAAUGGGAGCCUCGUCUUCUUGCAUCUUGUAUCUUUGUUUACUGUAUUUACUUAUAGGCCCUCAGUAACAAUGCACACUACUGAAUUCUUGCUUUUAUUAAUUAUGCCACCAAAUUUCACCCCAAAUUUUUAACAUCUUUUAUUCUUUAUACUCAUUUUCUAUGUUAGUCUUAAAGCCCCAGUUUAGUUGUUUUUUUCUGUUUAUGAAACUUGAGUCCUUAUUUUAAUUGGAUUAGCUUUAAAUGGGCUUUUUCCAUUUUAGGUAUCCUUAGACAAUGGAAACCUCCCGUAUAUCUGUAGGUAGUUUUCUUUGAAGUAUAAUAGCUAAGUCAAAACAGUAUUUGCUAUAAAAUACUGAUAAAUACUGC
rnacentral:lncRNA from 1 species